rnacentral:rRNA from 1 species
CAGCAGCCACGGUAAAACGUAGGUGGCAAGCGUUGUCCGGAAUUAUUGGGCGUAAAGGGCUCGCAGGCGGUUUCUUAAGUCUGAUGUGAAAGCCCCCGGCUCAACCGGGGAGGGUCAUUGGAAACUGGGAAACUUGAGUGCAGAAGAGGAGAGUGGAAUUCCACGUGUAGCGGUGAAAUGCGUAGAGAUGUGGAGGAACACCAGUGGCGAAGGCGACUCUCUGGUCUGUAACUGACGCUGAGGAGCGAAAGCGUGGGGAGCGAACAGGAUUAGAUACCCCAGUAGUCCCUGUCUCUUAUAC